GUUCUAGAUGUAAACUUGUAAUUUCUACUAGCAUAAAUGUAACCUCUUUUUUUUUUUAAUCCUAUUUAAUAUUCAUCAACGCAUUGCUGCUAGAUGGCUUGUAAAUCUGAAAACAAAUUACAGGCUUCCUGAAAUGUAUAUCACUAUCCAGAGAAUGUUAAUGGGUUAAUUUUAUGGCAUGGUGUAAAUUUAGCAAAUACUAUUUUUUUUUUAUCCCACUAUAAUAAAUCCAGUAAGUCAUAGUGAAGUAGCUCUCAAAAUUAUUGCAAAGAGGUAUAAUAGUAUGAAAAAGUGUCAAUUGUGUACUAAAGAUGUUCAGUGCUAACAUUCCCUCUGUGAGAUUUGCAUGAUUGUGCCAAAAUGGCCGAUGGGUUCACCUCAUAACCGGAAUACAGAGCAUGAAGCAUCUCGUUCUUGCUGGAUUCCUUUUCUCUUUUUCUCUUCUUCUUUACCUCUCUUUAUAUCAGUCGAUAUGCAUGGUGAGCUAUUUCCAAACCGAACAUAGAACAUUGCUGUUGUCAUUCCCGUGGUGUGUGAAAUUUGUAAUGGAUUGCCUUAAAAAUUACAAAGAAUAAAACAAUGACGUUUUUCGAGAA